GGUCCAAUGGUCUAGUGGUAUGAUUCUCGCUUUGGGUUAUGCAAUCUAGCAUGCGAGAGGCCCCGCGUUCGAAUCGCGGUUGGACCC